rnacentral:lncRNA from 1 species
UAGAGCACUUGCCUACCACGGUGAGGCACUGGUCGAAUCAGAACCACAGAAAAAUAAAAUAAGGGUAUUGUGUCCAUCUAACAAAAAAAAAAAAAAAAACAGGGUUCUGACCCCAGCAUACCAGUAAUCCAAGUAACUUCAGAGACUGGGCAGGAAGAUCACAAAUUUGAGGCCAGCCUGGGCAACUUAACAAGACCCUGUCUCAAAGGGCUGGGGAUGUGGUUCAGUGGUUAAGUGCCCCUGGGUUCAAUCCCUAGUACCAAAAGAAUUUUUAAAACCAGGGCUCUGAGUGUGUUUCUAUAAUUUAAAUUGGAUGUGGUUGUUCUUUCUGUUAAUGAGAUUCCCCACCCAUUCUUAAGUAAAACAUUUUUCAAUUAUGAAAAUGAGGUAUAUUCAGUCUUAGCAAAUUUGCUUUUCAGCUUUUAAAAAUACAACUGAAGCCAGGCAGGCAUGGAGGCACAGGGCUGUUAUCCCAGCUACUCUGAAGACUGAAGCAAAAGGAUUACAAAUUCCAAGGCCAGUGUCAUGGAUUGAGCAGGAUCCUGUCUCAAAAACAAAAAAGAGUGGUGAUGUAGCUCAAUGGUACAGGAUUUACCUAGCAUUUUCCAAAGUCCGGGAUUAAAUCCCCAGGACCUCUCUCUCUCUCUCUCUCUCUCUAUAUAUAUAUAUAUAUAUAUAUAUAUAAACUGGUACCCUUUACAAUUUAGUGAGUACGUUUCUCAAAAAUGAAAAGGGCAGGCUGGGCAUUAUGGCUCAAUGGUAGAGUAAUUACCUAGUGUUCAGGAGGCCCAAAAUUCAAUCCCCAGCACCACAAAAACAUAUAAAAAGGGCUUGGGAUAUAGCUCAGUAUAAAACAUCCCUGGGUUCAAUCCCCAUUACUGAAAAAAGAAAACUAAAGAGUCAUGACAGGGCUGGGAAUGUGGCUCAGUUGGUAAAGUUCUUGCCUUGCAUGCAUUGGCCCUGGGUUCAAUCCCUAGUACCCCAAAAAAAAAAAAAAAAAAAAUAUUAUAUAUGAAACUUUAAUCACAAGUCAUUAUGAAGUUCUCAACAAUCAUAACAUUUUUUUUUCCUAUAGAUGUGCUUCACACACGCAUGGAUAAACCAUUUACCCUUGAUUUUGUAUCUCAGGAACAAAUCUGACUUAUUAGCACCAUUACUUGUAAACUGCUAACCUGGUUCCCUGUGCUGUUGUAACAUUAUCUUGAUGGGUUGCUGUGAAUAUGUGAAGAUGUCUGUCAGGCAGGAAAAAUUAUGUAAAAAUGAUGUGAGCAUAGAAAAUGAAAUCAACAAAAAUGUAAUAAACUCCUCCUGGGCUGAAAAAUAAGAAUUUUUUUCCAAGCCCAACCCUCAGCCACUGUCUGCC